rnacentral:rRNA from 1 species
GAUGAACGCUGGCGGCGUGCCUAAUACAUGCAAGUAGAACGCUGAAGGAAGGAGCUUGCUCUUUCCGGAUGAGUUGCGAACGGGUGAGUAACGCGUAGGUAACCUGCCUGGUAGCGGGGGAUAACUAUUGGAAACGAUAGCUAAUACCGCAUAACAGUAGAUGUUGCAUGAUAUCUACUUAAAAGGUGCAAUUGCACCACUACCAGAUGGACCUGCGUUGUAUUAGCUAGUUGGUGAGGUAACGGCUCACCAAGGCGACGAUACAUAGCCGACCUGAGAGGGUGAUCGGCCACACUGGGACUGAGACACGGCCCAGACUCCUACGGGAGGCAGCAGUAGGGAAUCUUCGGCAAUGGACGGAAGUCUGACCGAGCAACGCCGCGUGAGUGAAGAAGGUUUUCGGAUCGUAAAGCUCCGUUGUAAGAGAAGAACGAGUGUGAGAGUGGAAAGUUCACACUGUGACGGUAUCUUACCAGAAAGGGACGGCUAACUACGUG